CAACGAGUCGCAAGCUCGCGAGAGUAAGCUAAUCUCUUAAAGCCGUUCUCAGUUCGGACUGUAGGCUGCAACUCGCCUACACGAAGUCGGAAUCGCUAGUAAUCGCGGAUCAGCAUGCCGCGGUGAAUACGUUCCCGGGCCUUGUACACACCGCCCGUCACACCAUGAGAGCCGGGGGGACCCGAAGUCCGUAGCUUAACCGCAAGGAGGGCGCGGCCGAAGGUAAAACUGGUGAUUGGGGUGAAGUCGUAACAAGGUACC
rnacentral:rRNA from 1 species